UCUUGUAACUUAGUUGGUAAAGGAUCUGCCUGCUGUGCAGGAGACCUGGGUUCAAUUCCUGAGUCAAGAA
rnacentral:tRNA from 1 species